GAUUAUUGCUUGAAAUUUAUGCCAAUCAAAUAAGCCGUGUUGACUGUUAAAUUAUUUUCAAUCACUAAUAAGGCACUCUCAUUAGUUUCUGAUUUUUCUUUUAACUUAUUUUCAAAAAAUGGUCGAUUAAAUUGGUUGCCUGUUUCUUUGUGGAAUUGCAAAGUAUGAAUGUUAGAAAAAAUCCCAAAAAAUUACUUGCAAAUAGUCAUUUAAAGUUGCGUCCUGAAAAGAUAGUCUGCGUCAUUUUGACUUCUCGCUUUCUGCAAUAUUGCCCCCAUUUUUUUUGCUAACAGUGCGUUGGUUUUUUCUCAUUAUUUCUAAAACAUUAAAGAAAUAUUAGAACCUGAAUUCUGGUCUUUGGUAUUUAUCGAUGAGCUAACACUGUGACCAUUCAAUGAUGUUUUUUGAAAAAAAAAAUACAUUUUCAAUUAUUUAUAAGUCGGGAGUCAUUUCGAUGAAUGAUUAUCCUUUUACGCACAUCAACAUGCGUAACAAAAGCCAGUAAAAAUGAUGAACAUGAAAUAGAAAAAAACUAGAGUAUCGGUAAGGAAUUGCAUCACAUCGACAGAGGUCGCUCUUCGGCAGGUUUUGAAUUAGAAUGCUGUAGAAAACCACUGCUGAAGUAGUUUCAUACCCUUCACAUUUUCGCGAAUGUUAAAAAUGCCUAAACUAACAGAGUUGUAAAUUGUAAAAUCUUAUGGAAUACUUCAAUAAAAAGUGGGUAGCCUCAAUGUUUAUUGGAGUAUUACACACGAUUUUACUAUUAAUAGUGAUAAAGUUUAGUUCAAUCGGAAUAACCGGACAUCGGUUACAACCAUGCAAAGCGAACAAUUCCACGUAAAAAUUGAAAAUUCGCCAUGUGAUGGAUUGUUUACCUGUAAAAAAAUUUCUAAUAGUUUGCAGAUAACAAUUAUUAAAAUUCAAAGAAUUCGUAAUCAAUAUUGUUUUCGAUACGUCUUGCAUGUCCAAGUUCUGUUCGAGACCAUUUUCAGGUUCUUGGUACGGCAGUGCCAAUUCGUUGAAUUGACCCCAAUGCGAUGGUAAGCUCGAUUUGCAUUGUAAAUUAAUUUGAAAUCUUUUAAAAGACCGAGUGUCUGAAAACAGUGCUUCAAAACUUUUUGCUCUUUGUACUUUUCGUUGUUGGUAAACCGGUGUGGUGUUACACCAAUGCAUAAUGGUCCAGAAACCAAAUUUAGGGGGAAAUUUUGGUCUAGAGCACUAUAGCAACAUUUUAGAGAAAAACUUUCUUCUAAAAAGUUGUUACAUAUGAUGAAACGCUUAUUGAAAAAUUAUCAAAAACUAGGGUGACCAACAUUUUCAAUGCAAAUAUGUAUCUAACUUUUUCAUAUUGGUAGAUAGAAGAAAAAUUUGUUCUACAAUGUUAUAGCUCCAUUAAUUUUAAGAAACUUUGUUAAUAAAAAAGUUUUUCUCUAUCUUUGAAAUCAACCGAUUUAUAUUGAAAAAACAUGUAACUUUUUUUUCAAGAUUCAUCUCAAAACUGUCUUUGAACGACUUUUAGUGCUUUUUAAGAGAAACAAUUUGCAACACUGACAUCGUAAAUAUCUCAGUUUUACUCAAAGUUAUUAACAUUUUUCAUAAAAAAAUGCGUUUUUCAUUUGCAUGUCAUUCUUUUGAGGGCAAACUUAAUCUAAUUUGAGUUAAUUUAAUUUAAUUUGACCCAAAAAGAUCGAAAAUCGAUCAACUGGUUCGAAAGUUAUGAAUUUAAAAAAAAAAAAAAUCGAAUAUUGCCGUUUUUUAUGGUCACCCUAUUUCGAAGUUGGUCACGAAAAGUGCUUCAAUUGUGCUUAAAAUCGCAAGGAUGCAUCUAUGUUGAAAAUAAUCAAACCCAUAUUGUUUCGUUGGGUUGUUAAGGGAACUAGCUCCGAAAUAUCCGAAAACUAGCGAAAUACCUAUCCGAAAUUGCUUAAUGUUUGGGUAAGUAACAUCCAUUUUGGCAACCUUGAAUAAUUAUGUGAAUUAUCGCUUUUUGCAUUUUUAAAAUAAAUACAGCCCAAUAUCAGUGAAAGUAAAGUAUGCGCUCACCAUAUGGCUUUUUACGGUACUAAAUUCAUCUGUAUUUAUACACUUGUGUUAUUUGAAAAAAAAAAAAAAUUGAAAUACUUUUUAUUGCAUUUUAUGAGAGGAUAUGUACUUUCAGAUAAAGCAAUUUGAAUAUCCAGAUUUUUUCAACUAGAGUAUCUUUUCUCAAGAAAUCCUAAACGUCUGAGCAGUAGAACCGAUUUGACAGCUAUAGCAAGCGCGUAAUCUGCUGCUGCGCGCCACACGCCGCGAACGAUUAUCUCGAAACUAUUUUUUUUUUUCAAUGUGGCUGUGGUAAGCACUGGUUUUGAAGAACCAUCAACCCGAUCAGCCUGAAUUUUAGACAGGUAUGUUUAUUACAAUAACAGGAUGCUCGGAAAUGGAGCAAUUUCAAUUUAAAGCUAUAUUUUUUUCCUACCGAAAAUUUUUACUUAAAUAACGAAACUUUUUAUAAAAACGAUCACCAUUUUUGAAAUAAAAAUUAAGCAUGCAAAAUCCUCCAUUCAUGUACAGCGUAAAGGUACAACCUACAGGAUUUGUUUGUUUUUUUUUUUUUGUUUUUUUGUUUUAUGUUUUGUUUUUGUGUUUUUGAUAAGUAGUUCUUUCUGUAACAUGUUCACCGCGAGAGACGUUGGAAAAAUUAUGUUUUGGUACAAUGACUGCAGUGACUCUAGUUGUUAAUAUCUUUUUUUUUUUAAAUUUUUGAUCACCUGAUAUGCGUAAAUAAAUAUGCAUUUAUUUUUCUAAAAUAUAAUGUUUGUAUACACCUGGCCGCAAGGUUACAGAGUCUGCUUUGUCGAGCUUUGUCAGUCGAUAUCGAAAAGGAUUAAACAUGGGUUUAUUCUCAGGCUCCCCCACCAUUACGCUGAGUUCUAUAAUACCUUUAUGUGACUUUCUCUUAACAAAAAUAAUUCCCUCUUAUCAAUAAAACCAAAAGGACGCACGAUUUUAGUUGAAAAGUAUUGCACUUUUAGAAAAAUCCUGCAUUUAUUCCUAGGGUCCCAUGAAAAACAAUGAGACAGGUGAGUCCGAUCAGUCAACCUAUAUGUUUCGGGAAAAACACGUUUAUAAGUUUAUGGUCCCAUAAGCUUCUGUACUGGUUAGUGGAACAAAACGAACACAGCUUUGCUAGAUGCUUUGUGAGAUGAUAGUUUACGACAUCAAAUAUUCAAAAUUUUGAGUUCUGUCAUUAACUGACAAUAUAGUGUUAUAUUCACUUCUUCGCAAUGCAUUUUGUUUGGAGAUAAACACUCUGGUGAUACGCUACAGUUUCCAAAAAAAAACAAUCGAUUCUUGGAAAGCUGAGAAGGACCCGACUUUGCAGUGUAAGUAAAUAAAAAAAUGAUCGCAAGUGAUGAAUAAAAUGUAUUUUUUUAUUAUUUUGAAUAACUUCAUGUUAAUUACGAGCGGGAUCUGUACGUGGCCGUAGUCACAGGAAGCUGAGAUCUAUACCGGAUGCGCUUGAAGCUUCCAAUACCGAACUUAAGUGAAACAUACCAACACGAGAGCAUGGAAGAGAGACUCUGCUGCUGGACUACUGCUGCUGUUGGAACCACUGUUGCUGCUGGGACUAUUGCUACUGCUGCUGGGACUGCUGCCGAAUUGUUGCCUCCAAGCAGUUCCGUGGAAACUCUAGGAGCAACUAUUACAACAUGGUCCAACGAUCAACUGAAGGGCUCAGAUAUGUUCAAAGGGAUCGGUAAACUUGCUUCAGCGGGAAAGCCCGGGCUGAUACAAAAAAUUCAGCGAUUGCGACAUCGACCGGGCAAGCAAACCUAUACAACUGGAACGCUGCGUUCAUACACAUAUCCUGUUGUUACCAGGAAAUGGUUUAGUUGAAUGAACAAACAGAAUAAAAUUCAAUUAAAUUCAAUUCAAU